GGGGACUUCACCAACCGAGGACCAUGGCUGGACAGAAAGACUGUGCACUUUGGGGUCAGCUGGGCCUGAGUUAGACUCCAGCUCCCCCACUUGUUAGCUUCAAAUUCCGAGAUAGUUGUGUUUGAACUUAUUUGACUUCCUCUGGGGCUACUAAUCUCCACAUCGCUCAAUCCUUGGGAGUCUGUGAGCUCCCCAAGAGGGAAACUAUCUGAUUCAUCCUAAAAGCCAGAAGCAAGUAGUUGUCAUCUCCAGGAUGGGAGCGGUGGGAAGAGACUGUGAAGCCUGCAGACCCCAACCCCUCAGUGGGACAGCAGCAGGGACCUGGAAUCUUCCAUCAGGAAGAAGCAAUACUGGUAGGCAGCAGAUGGCAACUUCAAACACGUGCAGAUGGCUUGCAUUGUAACCCGACGGACAGUAAGAACACAUAUCCUAGAUCACCAACCUGGAAGACACCCCCUUAAAUAUACCCAACUCUGCUCAUAAGGCACCUCAGCACCCACAAUCCACUGCUAAGUGCAACCUAAGAUCUCUAUCUUAUAAACCCUUUUCAUGCCUCUUACAGUCACAUUCUGAAAAUUCUUUUUCCGUGGCAGAAGGCAGCAAACCUGCAAACUUGGGCCAGGGAUUUAGCUCAGUGGUUUUGCCACCUGCUGCGCAAGUGGAAAGACCCAAGUUCUAUCCCAAGUAACAACAAAAAACAAACAAACAAACAAACAAAACCCUGCAAACUUAUUCUACAAGAGUGGGACAGGUUCCUUAUUUCAGCCCUGGUGACCUUCAGAACCAGCUCAGUGACAAGACCAAGCUUCACCUCCCAAAUCACAUUUAGCAAUAAAUGCAUCACUGGAUGAAUCCACUGAGUAGUGGUCAGACUGUGAUCCUGUCUCCUCCCCAAGGCUCCACCUAUGAGCACAUGAGGCUUUGAG
rnacentral:lncRNA from 1 species